rnacentral:rRNA from 1 species
UACGGGGGGGGCAAGCGUUGUUCGGAAUUACUGGGCGUAAAGCGCACGUAGGCGGCUUUGUAAGUUAGAGGUGAAAGCCUGGGGCUCAACCCCAGAAUUGCCUUUAAGACUGCAUCGCUUGAAUCCGGGAGAGGUGAGUGGAAUUCCGAGUGUAGAGGUGAAAUUCGUAGAUAUUCGGAAGAACACCAGUGGCGAAGGCGGCUCACUGGACCGGUAUUGACGCUGAGGUGCGAAAGCGUGGGGAGGCAAACAGGAU